rnacentral:rRNA from 1 species
GACGAACGCUGGCGGCGUGCUUAACACAUGCAAGUCGAACGGAAAGGCCCUGCUUUUGUUGGGUGCUCGAGUGGCGAACGGGUGAGUAACACGUGAGUAACCUGCCCUUGACUUUGUGAUAACUUCAGGAAACUGGGUCUAAUACCGGAUAGGAUCUCCUGCUGCAUGGUGGGGGUUGGAAAGUUCCGGCCGUUGGGGAUGGACUCGCGGCUUAUCAGCUUGUUGGUGGGGUAGUGGCUGACCAAGGCUUUGACGGGAAGCCGGCCUGAGAGGGGUACCGGGCACAUGGGGACUAAGAGAGGGCGCAGAAGCCUAUGGGAGGCAGCAGGGGGGAAUAUGGCAGAAUGGGGGGAAGCGAGAGGCGGAAACGCCGGGAGCGGGAUGACGGGUUUCGGGUGGUAAACAGAUUUCGCAGGUGACGAAGAGUGAGUGACGGUAAUGGGUAAAGAAGCACCGGCUAACUAUGUG